rnacentral:tRNA from 1 species
GGGGGUAUAGCUUAGUGGUAGAGCGCAUGCCUAGCAUGUGUGAGGUCCUGGGUUCAAUCCCCAGUGCCUCCA